UACUACCGAAGCUACGGCAUCAGUAAUGAUGGGUAGGGGAGCUUCCCAUACGGGUUGAAGCAUGACCGUAAGGACAUGGGGACAGUAUGGGAGUGAGAAUGUUGGCAUGAGUAGCGAGAUGUGGGUGAGAAUCCCACAGGCCGUAAACCCAAGGUUUCCAGGGGAAGGUUCGUCCGCCCUGGGUUAGUCGGGACCUAAGCUGAGGCCGAAAGGCGUAGGUGAUGGACAACAGGUUGAUAUUCCUGUACUACCGAU
rnacentral:rRNA from 1 species